rnacentral:rRNA from 1 species
GAUGAACGCUAGCUACAGGCUUAACACAUGCAAGUCGAGGGACCGGCGCACGGGUGAGUAACACGUAUCCAACCUGCCCUUUACUCGGGGAUAGCCUUUCGAAAGAAAGAUUAAUACCCGAUAUAAAGGAUGGGGAUGCGUUCCAUUAGGUUGUUGGGGAGGUAACGGCUCACCAAGCAUUCGAUGGAUAGGGGUUCUGGGAGGAAGGUCCCCCACAUUGUAACUGAGACUCGGGCCAAACCCCUACGUGAGGCAGCAGUGGGGAAUAUUGGUCAAUGGGCGCUAGCCUGAACCAGCCAAGUAGCGGGAAGGAUGAAGGCUUAUGGGUCUUAAACUUCUUUUAUAUAAGAAGAUGUAUUAUAUGAAUAAGGAUCGGCUAACUCCGUGCCAGCAGCCGCGGUAAUA